GUAAGGGCUUCUCAGUAUCCAGUCGGCGCAGCUGUGCGUGUGUGCUUUCCCGCUACACCUGUGGAAUAAUAAUCAGGUGGAUGGCAAGCUAUCAAGGACAGCAUUUCCUAAGUGGGACUACAUUUACCAUGAACAAUCUGCAUCCUAUCAAGGAACAUCAAGGUCUCCAGACUAGAAACACAGCAUGGAGCUUCCCAGACAGGCUUCCGGUACAGUGAUCAGGUCUGAGCUGUGUUGCUGUGCAUAUUUUAGGAUCAAGCAAAGCAGCCUGAAUGCCUUAGUGGGGAGAGGCAAAGGUGGAACUGUGCAUACUGGAUCCCUAAUAUUGGCCAUAAUCAGGAACGUUAAUGGGUUCCAAUGGGCCAGCACCCACUGGCACGCCACCGAGGUCUGACGGAAGGGUUUCCUUGAUGCGAUUCACAGGCAAAGGAGCCGUCUGCGCAGACGAAACGAGACGCUGGCCUUGGAGAGCAAGCUCUGCGCGCAUUUAGAAACGAGGAGCCUUUCUUCAGCUAUGGCGAAAUGUGGGUUAAAUACAUUAUUUUUUUAAAAAAAGAAAACAGAGGAAUCUAAAAGGGUAUUUCUUUAUUUUAAAAAUAACUCCUCUCAGAAUGGAAAAUGGGACAGCGUGCCUCAGCAUAUGGCUAGCAAAGCAGCUGCAAUAAAGCUGGAAUUUGUUGUAUUUCUAAUAUUGCUUUUAUUAUUCCAGUCAUUGCUCUCUCUCUCUCUCUCUCUCUCUCUUUUUUGCAAUGGAAAGAUCUUCUAGAUUCUUGAAGGAAAUAAGUGUCAUACCCAUUGCAUGGUGUGUUUUUGUGGAAAAGAAAAUACGCACAAUCAAAAU